UACAGAGGGGGCAAGCGUUAUUCGGAAUUAUUGGGCGUAUAGGGCGCGUAGGCGGCCUGGCAAGUGGAAGGUGAAAUCCCUCGGCUUAACCGAGGAACUGCCCUCCAAACUGCUUGGCUUGAGUCCGGGAGAGGUGAGUGGAAUUCCCAGUGUAGCGGUGAAAUGCGUAGAUAUUGGGAGGAACACCAGUGGCGAAGGCGGCUCACUGGACCGGAACUGACGCUGAGGCGCGAAAGCGUGGGGAGCAAACGGG
rnacentral:rRNA from 1 species